UCCAUAUCGAUGAUUUUGUGGAUGACUGGUUCUCCAUUGAGAAGUUCAAGAAGGCAUAUGUAGGGACUUUCAGUCCAGUGACAUUGAAGGAUAGAUGGACAUGUUGAUAUAGGAUAUAAAAUCAAGAAGCCUAAAUUGUUACGGAACCCUGGGAGACCAAGAAUGGCUAGGAUAAAGGCAAGUGAUGAGGCUGGCACUAGUAAGAGAAAAUAAUGCACUGAAUGUAAUGAGCUAGGCCACACGGCCAAGACUUGCCAAGGAGGUCCCACAGCAAGUCAAAAGAGGAGGCACUCAUCUUUAGAAAUUGGAACAGUAGAGAGGGGAACAACGAACCAAGUGUUGCACAUCAAAUGCAAGUGCAAGGGAAAGGGUAAGUGACAGUGGCGAUGUAGGUGGAAGGGGAAGUGGCAGUGGCGAUGCAGGUGGAAGGGGAAGGCAAUGAAGAGGAGGGAGGCUAGCUUCAUGGUUUGCAUGAUUUGGACAUCUAUAUGCCCCUUUUAAAUAAUUUUGUGCACUUUUGUGCUAAUAUGGACUUGCAAUAUGAUCUGGACUUGUAAUAUGUGGUAUUGUGCC